AGAACGAACGCUGGCGGCAGGCUUAACACAUGCAAGUCGAACGGUUGUAGCAAUACAGCAGUGGCAGACGGGUGAGUAACACGUGGGAACCUUCCUAGGGGUACGGAACAACUCAGGGAAACUUGAGCUAAUACCGUAUACGUCCGUAAGGAGAAAGAUUCAUCGCCCCUAGACGGGCCCGCGUAGGAUUAGGUAGUUGGUGAGGUAACGGCUCACCAAGCCUACGAUCCUUAGCUGAUCUGAGAGGAUGAUCAGCCACACUGGGACUGAGACACCGGCCCAGACCUCCGUACGGGAGGCAGCGAGGUGGGGAAUCGUUGGAACAAGUGGGCGCAAGCCUGAUACCAGCCAGUGACCGCGGUGAGUGGAACGAA
rnacentral:rRNA from 1 species